AUAUAUAACCAUGUGUACUUAUGACUGUGGUUGUCUCCCCCUUUCUAUCAGUGUGUGUGCGUGUGUGUGUUUAAUUAUGUCAGUGUGCAUGUAUUUCCGUCGUUAUAUAUAUAUAUAUAUAUAAAACGAUGUGUACUUAUGACUGUAGUUGUCUCCCCCUCUCUGUCUGUGUGUACACAUGUAUUACGUGUAUCACUGUGUGUCUUGAUGUGAUUGUGUGUGUAUGAACUUGCUCUAUAUAACGUGUGCCUGUAACUGUGUAGUUGUCUCCCCCUUUCUACUCUCUCUCUUUCACGUGAAUGUAUGUAUGUAUGUGUGUCUUGAUCGUGUUUGUUUAUAUAGCGUGUGUGACUGUGACCAUGGUUUUUCUCCCUCUCGAUAUCUUUUUCUCUGUGUGUCUGCUAUGCGUAUGUUUAUUUCGCCAUCUCUCACUCAUACGUAUGUGUUUGUGUGUUGUGUGCGUGUGUCUGUGUGUGCGUGCGUACGCGCAUUCGUUUAGUUGCUUAGCCCCAGGUCUACUCUGAUUGAGUAAAUCUAUGAUCAGAAGCGUUCCAGCAAAACCAUUCCGUCCUUUUGUGUCAGGAAAUUGUAUUUUUCAACGUAUCCUUUUCUUUAUAAGACGACAGAGUAUAUAUAUAUAUAUAUAUAUAAGGGAGAUUUGGCUAUUAUUUCUAGAAGAUCGAGUAAUCACAUAGAGGCUCCCUCGUUAUAUCGAUGUAUUUGUCACCCUCCCUCUUAAUUAGUCUGUCUCUAUCGUCUAGUUAUAUGUGUUAACUCCCUCUCUUUCAUUUCUCUCUCUCUGUAUAUUUGUUUGUUUGUCUCUCUCUCUGUAUAUUUAUUUGUUUGUCUUUACCUUUUUCUUUUACAUCAAUUUCCCCUCAUGCUUUUCUUGUGUUUUAUAAUCGUUUAUUUGUAUUUAUAUUUCUUGAGCUUUUCGCCAUCUCUUUCUUUCUAUAUAUAUAUAUAUAUAAAUAUAUAUAUAUAUAUACAUCUAUCUCUCUUCCUGUGUGUAUAUGUAUUUCUGUGAGCGUGUGUACAUUUCUGCAUCUACUUGUAGCUGUAGAUAUAUGUAUGGGCUUACUUGUAGCUGCAUUAGUAGUGUAUAACCAGACAAAUAGAUGUGUGCGAAUAUCUUAAAUCUACCGAACUUGAUCGUGCGGCUGCUUCAAACUGUAUCUAUGUUUAUGUAUAUGUAUGUAUGUGAUUUAAAACUAUAUGAUUUUGUGAGUGUGUGUGUGUGCGAAUGCGAAUCAAACUCUUGUUGUGUUGUAGUAAACAAAAAUUGCGCCAUAGAUGGUGUGACAGUAGAUGAGAAGCUAUAAAAGAGAAAGUAUAUGAAGAUAACAAGCUGGCUACUACGUUCUCACAAAUUGUGACUGUAAACGUUAAUAUGGAAAAGUGUUGGUUUGAUUUAAGAUCGUGUGUUUUUGUGAGUCAAUGAAUUAGUGUGUGUAUGAAUCUGCAUACACAGACAUUCAAGAUGUGGUCACUCCAGUAGCUUGAAACAGUAAUCAAUCUACCUCAAAUGAUAAUAAUUAGAGAAAGCACACCUCCAUAAAAUAAAAAAGGACAGGCUGGUCUUUGAUCAGGGCUUACUUGGAGCUUAACGUGUGUGUGUGUCUGUAUGUGUGCGUUACGACUCAGCAAGAUAACAGUUACGCAGUCGCUCAGUCUGCUAGAAAUAGUAGCCAAAUUUUCUUGAAAUUAAACCUACCGUCUUCAAAAAAAAAAAAAAAAAGGACACGUUGGUUAACCUAGCGCUAGGAACCCCGAAUAGUACAGAAUGAACACGGCUGGAAUGCUUUAAUCACGACUGACCCUGGGGCUAAACAACAUUAAUAGCAACAGUGAGAAGGAAUAAUGACUGUAUAUAUAUAUGUGAAUGAAUGAGUAAAUGUCAAUGUGUGUGAGCUUGUGUGAAUUUCCAUAAACUAUGUGUAUGUAUUUAGGUGUGCAAAUCAAGGUCUAACCAUUACUGUAACAUAAGUGAACGUAUUCAUAUACUUAUGGAUACGAGUGUUUCUCUGUGAGUGUAUAUAAGAGUAUACACCUCUUAUGUGUUGUGUGAAUGUAUUAUAUAUAGUAGAACCUAUAUGUUUGUGUACAUUUCAGUUAAUAUUGUAGCUAUGUAUGAGUGUGUUCAGUCGUAACUGGAUGUCAUUGUGACUCAGUGAAUAACAAAUUCGUAUAUGUGUCUGUGUGUGUAUAAAAUUGUGAAUUAGACUAUGAAAAAUGUGUUUGUGUGCAACAGUUCGAGCUCGCACGAACAAUCUACGUUUAUCUCUCUUUCCCUUUCUCUCUCUCUCUCUCUUUCAUUCUCUCAGUAGACGCAUACACAUGUAUGUGUGUGAGUAAUAUAUAUAUAUAUAUAUAUAUAUAUAUAUAUCAGAAUGUAUAUCUGUAACUAUAUACCGUACACACAAGUGCCUAUAUAUGCUUGUGAUUGUGUAGUUUGGAUAUGCAUAGUUAUGUCUGUACGUGUAGGUGGAUUUAUAACUUGUAGGCAUAUGCGUAUUCUCGAAGGUCUAUGUUUGUAGGAAUAUGCCUGUGUGUAUCUGUGUAGGUGUGUAUAUAUAUAUAUAUAUAUAUAAUAUAUAUAUAUAUAUAUAUAUAUAUAUAUAUAUAUAUAUAUAUAUAUAUAUAUAUAUAUAUAUAUAUAUAUAUAUAUAUAUAUAUAUAUAUAUAUAUAUAUAUAUAUAUAUAUAUACAUAUAUAUAUAUACAUAUAUAUAUACAUAUAUACAUAUAUAUAUAUAUAUAUAUAUAUACAUAUAUAUACAUAUAUAUAUAUAUAUAUACAUAUAUAUAUACAUAUAUAUAUACAUAUAUAUAUAUAUAUAUAUAUAUAUAUAUAUAUAUAUAUAUAUAUAUAUAUAUAUAUAUAUAUAUAUAUAUAUAUACACAGACGUACGAACAUGCGUAGAUAGAUAAAUAAGUAGGUAGGUAGGUAAGUGGAUAGAUGGAUACACAGAUAAAUAAACAUUUGAAGUAAGAAAAAAAAAAUGUAUAAUCUACAUAUCCAUGUGGAUGUGUUUUAGCGCAAGUGCAGGGUAGGUGCAUAUUUUUUCCCCCCGCCUUUAUAUCUUCUAUAAACAUCCCCCCAUAAUCCAUGCCCUCCCGUCUCGUACACACACACACACACACGCAUAAAUGUAUUAUAAAUACAUACGCGCGCACACACACAGACACACACACACACCACACACCUAUCUACACGCCCGUUGCCUUGACACGAUGUGUGCUCAUUUUUCUCCGACUUUCUUCCUCUUUGAAUGUAUCAGAUACUCUACGUGUAUAAAUAGAUGGAUGAGAUCUGUGCGUGUGUGUGGUGUGCGCGUGUACGUGUGUGUGUGUGUGUGUGUGUGUGUACCUGUCUGCUUAUCAUCACACAACUGCUCACCUAAGUGAGUUGUAUUUUUCUUAAUCCAAUCUCCACAGAAACGCUAGAAAGGUUGAGUCGCAUUACCAGGAAAUCGGACGCAAACAGAC
rnacentral:lncRNA from 1 species